rnacentral:rRNA from 1 species
GACGUAGGGCGCGAGCGUUGUCCGGAUUUAUUGGGCGUAAAGAGCGUGUAGGCGGCCAAGCAGGUCCGCUGUGAAAACUCGAGGCUCAACCUCGAGACGUCGGUGGAAACCGUUUGGCUAGAGUCCGGAAGAGGAGAGUGGAAUUCCCGGUGUAGCGGUGAAAUGCGCAGAUAUCAGGAGGAACACCAGCGGCGAAGGCGGCGCUCUGGGCCGGUACUGACACUGAGACGCGAAAGCGUGGGAGCGAACAGG